UUUUAAUUGAAGGCUUGUAUGAAGGGUUGGACAAAGGAUAAGCUGUCUUUAUUUUUAUUUUUGAAUUUGUCUUUUAAGUGAAAAGACUUAAAUUAAUUUAAGGGACGAUAAGACCCUAUAAAUCUUUAUAUUAAUAUAUUUUUAUUUUAGGUUUUAAUGUUUAUAAAAAUAAAGAAUAUAAAAUAUUGUGUUGGGGUGAUAAGAAUAAUAAGUAAACUGUUCUAAAAUAAAACAAAGUUGUUUGAUAGUAUAGUAGAUCCUUUAUAAAGAUUAGAAGUUUAAGUUACUUUAGGGAUAACAGCGUUAUUUUUUUUAAGAGUUCUAAUCGAAAAAAAAGUUUGCGACCUCGAUGUUGAAUUAAAAUUUCUUUGUGGUGUAGCCGCUAUAGAAGAGAGUCUGUUCGACUUUUAAAAUUUUACGUGAUCU
rnacentral:rRNA from 2 species